AGCGUUGCUCGGAAUCACUGGGCGUAAAGCGCACGUAGGCGGCUUAUUAAGUCAGGGGUGAAAUCCUGGAGCUCAACUCCAGAACUGCCUUUGAUACUGAUGAGCUUGAGUCCGGGAGAGGUGAGUGGAACUGCGAGUGUAGAGGUGAAAUUCGUAGAUAUUCGCAAGAACACCAGUGGCGAAGGCGGCUCACUGGCCCGGUACUGACGCUGAGGUGCGAAAGCGUGGGGAGCAAACAGG
rnacentral:rRNA from 1 species